UACGUAGGGUGCAAGCGUUAAUCGGAAUUACUGGGCGUAAAGCGCGUGUAGGCGGUUCGGUAGGUCCGUUGUGAAAACUCGAGGCUCAACCUCGAGACGCCGAUGGAAACCCUCGAACUAGAGUCCGGAAGAGGAGAGUGGAAUUCCUGGUGUAGCGGUGAAAUGACGCAGAUAUCAGGAAGAACACCCGUGGCUAAGGCGGCUCUCUAGUACGGUACUGACGCUGAGACGCGAAAGCGUGGGGAGCGAACAGG
rnacentral:rRNA from 1 species